CUUCACGUGUGGCUAUGCCAAACACACACAGAUAAUCUGUUGAACAAUCCUCUGCAAUCCACUUGAGCAGUGUGACAUCGAGUGUAACAUUCACUGACUGACAUCCCUGUUGUGCAGUCGUUUCACUUGAUCAGCGGGUCGCGGGGGGUGCUGGAGCCUAUCUCAGCUGCAUUCUGGCGGAAGGCGGCGUACACCCUGGACAAGUCCCCACCUCAUCCCAGGGCCAACACAGAUAGACAGACAACAUUCUCUUAUUAUUAUAAUCAAAUGACAGCAGUCAUUUCCAUGAGAUUAUUUUCUAAUAUAAGUGUUUAGGCCCACUUACAAUGACAAUAACAAAAAAUAUUGUUUUUCAUGAGCUGUGUACUUGUAUUGUUUGUCUGGGUGGAGGUCCUGCUUUGGAAAUAAUUUGUACCCCUUUCAGACAUUGCAUUUAGUUCCCAUUAAAACAUUCACAUGUUGCACAAUGAGAUGUACCGUAUUUUCCGCACUAUAAAGCGCAUCGGAUUAUAAGGCGCACCUUCAAUGAAUGGCAUAUUUCAAAACUUUGUUCAUAUAUAAGGCGCACCGGAUUAUAAGGCGCACCUAUGUCAACAAAACAGUCAGAUAGGUCAGUCAAACUUUAUUAAUAGAUAACAAACCAGCGUUCUGACAACUCUGUUCACUCCCAAAAUGAAUAAACAGCUGAUUUACUCGUGUUACGUAAAUCAAACGUGCAAUCACAAUAUAGUAACACGUGAAAUAGUGCAGAGCAAUAACAAUAUAUCAAUAACUCAACGUUGCUCAAACGUUAAUGUCACACAACACAACACACUAAAUAAAAAUGUAAAGCUCACUUUAUGAAGUUAUAGCUCAUUCACAAAUCCCUCGAAUUCUUCCUCUUCAGUGUCCGAAUUAAACAGUUGAGCGAAUACGGCAUCCAACAUGGCCGGCUCCGUCUCGUCGAAGUCGUCAUUAAUGGAGUCAGUGUCGUUGCCGUUUAUUAGUUCAGUGACAAUUCCUGCCUUCCUGAAAGCUCGGACCACAGAUGAGACUGAAUCAGCCCAGGCAUUUACGAUCCACUGGCAGAUAGUGGCGUAUGUCGUCUGGCGCUGUCUCCCUGUCUUGGUGAACGUCACGUGUGUUCGCCUUCUGUCAUCCACUGUUCCCACGCAGUUAGCAGUCUAGCUUCAAAUGCCCUGUUGACACCAAUAUCUAGCGGCUGGAGGUCUUUUGUCAAUCCACCCGGAAUGACGGCGAGUAUUGAAUUAAGCGCGUAAGCGUGUCUCUUAAUGUGAUGUUAUGAGCUAGCAAAUAUAACAACUACACUACCCAGCAUGCAACGAUAGUGACGAGCAUGCGCGGUAGCCCUGAGAAGCGUUGUAUGCUGGCAGUUAGAAUGUGGUUAUGAGCACGCUGUGAGUAAACGUUGAGAACUCAGUUAACACGCCUCGUCUGCAUUAUUUAUAAUUAGACAGACAACACACUUAAUAGGAGCCAUUUUGGGGUCUUUACAUAAACACACAAAUGGAAAUGAAAUGUCACAUAUCCCAGCAUGCACCGCGCGCUUCUUCUUCUUCUACGGGGAAAAAAGAUGGCGGCUGUUUACCGUAGUUGCGAGACCGAAACUUUAUGAAAAUUAAUAUUAAUAUUAACCCAUAUAUAAGGCGCACCGGAUUAUAAGGCGCACUGUCAGCUUUUGAGAAAAUUUGUGGUUUUUAGGUGCGCCUUAUAGUGCGGAAAAUACGGUAAGCAAGGGUUCAUGUGUACAUUGCUGCAACUUCCUGUUUGUAAAGAAAUAUAUUUUUAUUAGUAUUUAUUUAAUAUACUAACAGCAUUUCAUGAUUAAUAUUUAUAAAUUAAGAUUCCUAAUAAAUGACACUAGAAUAAGCACACAUUUGAUUGGUAAAUCAUAGUGUAACGACCUGGAAUGACACUUUGUGUGGUGUUGGAGUUGUCCAACUUUUUGUGUGGCUGUAAACGCAUCACUGGCUAAGUGCCAUAUGUGCAUGUGUUGGCGCAAGUGAGAAAGAGCGAGCGGCUGCUGUUGAUAUAACAAAGUUGCUUUUGGUCUGGUUUGUACUGCAGAAAAUGACCACUUUUGCUAGAUAUAAUUUUUUUUACUAAUGUCUUGGUGAUGUGUUUAUGGCCGACAAUAAAGAGUUUUGCUCAGUAAAAUGAUGGAUGGAAUUCAUGUCCUCAAAGCGUCUCGACAGACGUUACAAUAUUUGAACAAUGAUGACGAAAAAUGUUUUCUCUGUCUUGUCCGUGUGUCGAAAAUUGUUAUGCGCUUAUUUUUUUUAUUUGAUUUUGUGCGUGGCAUAGAUUUGCCGUGCGCAGAGGACACUUGAGCAGUGCGCAAUUGCACAGGCGCGCACCUUAGAGGGAACGUUGCCCUGGACAAGUCGCCACCUUAUCUCAGGUCCAA